GUCAACUACCCCUACUUAACGCCUUAAUCGGCGUUUGAAGUGGGAGCUUGGGGAAACGUGUAAGCCAGGCUUAUACGCCCUCAGGCCCGGUUGAUUAUGCCUCAGUGGUCGGGAUGUUUACGGAAAGGGGACAGCGAACCACUACGUUAAGCUGGAAUAGAUAGGCACCCUGGGAUCUCCCACACGUCCCAGGCUCUGCG
rnacentral:sRNA from 23 species